UGGGAUGAGUGUGGCGUGGUCG
rnacentral:miRNA from 1 species